GAUCUACUCGUCUCAUUUAUUUUGCAUCAACGAACACGCAGGACUGGUUUCGUCCACAAUUUGGUGACCCCGACGUGAUGCAAAGGAGACCAUUGGAAAAACAGGCUUGAUCUUUCUCCUCCAUUACUCAUCACAGGCGCGCCAUUUACUCAGGUUGGCAGAAACCGAUUUAAAUAAAUUCUGCAUAUUGACAACUGCUAAAUUAUGGAUGGGUAAAAGAGGUUGGAUCAAGUGAUUAAAUUUAAAGGACUGAAUUGGAACAAACAUAAGGUAAAAAUAUACUGAGUGAUUAAUAAGGUAUUGGGUCUGUGGUUUUUUGCCGGGAAUUGGUGAACCCCUCCCGUCAUCUGACGAGUGAAUGGGAUAAGGACUGGGUUGAAAGUCCCUGGGAUUGGCUCUCCCUAAAACAGGGUUGGAGUCCCUGAGGUUCAAGUCCUCUAAAGUACCAGGUUGGAGACCCUGAGGUUCAAGUCCUCUAAAAGUAUCAGGUUGGAGUCCUUGAGGUUUGAGUCCUCUAAAGUACCGGGUUGGAGUCCCUGAGGGUGGUCCUCUAAAGUACCGGGUUGGAGUCCCUGAGGGUGGUCCUCUAAAGCGCCCAUUCGUGAUAAGUUUGAAGUUCCUCACAUGCAGCAAACCUAACGGUGACAACUGAGCAUUGUGAGUUGAGCAAGUAAAACUUCGAAGACGUCUUGGUGAGUACCAGUUUUUGAUCAACAUGGCUGAAUACAGUAAAAGAGAUUUAGAAAAGAAUUGGAUAAUACAGUUGGAGUGGGGAAUUGGCAAUGGAAAACAUUGGAGAGACAGAUAAUCAUUUUGGCUAAAGCGGUUUAUGACUUAGAGAUAGACCCCAAAAAAAAGAAAAAAGUGGAAAAAAGUGAAGGCAGAAACGGAGAAACUGUUGAGAAAAUGGAUGUUGGAUAAAGAACUGUCUCCCCAUGACCAGAUUUCCUUGGGACAGGCGUUAAAUGAUUUUACAGCUAGAGCAAUAAAGGAAUUAGACGAGGCUAAGGCAGAACAUGAAAAGGCAGGAAUGUUUAAGAAGGGAAAAGCCAGGAAGAGGUUAUCAGAUGCAGAACAGGAAAUAGCUAAGGUCAGAAGGUUGAAGUGCACAUAUAAUGGCAACCUGGAUAGAAUGGUAAGUAUCCCCAAGUAUCCCCACCCUCCUAUGAUAACCUAACGCCAGGCAUUUUGACACGGACACCUGAGCUAGAGCAGGCGUUCAUUGAACUAAAGCAGGAACUAGUGCAUGCGGCUGACCUUGCUAGACCAGACUACACCAUGAAAGGAUACAGGUUAUCUCACCAGUGCGGGCAGACCCGUAAAACACAAGGAAGAGUUCUUAGCACUAGAGAAAGCGAUACAACUACCAAAACAGGUUGCCAUCAUAAAGUGCAAGGGACAUCAGAAAGGGGACUCAUUGGUGGAAAGAGGUAAUGAGGCAGCAGACAAGGCAGCAAAGGAAGCAGCAGGUUAUAAAAGAACGAAGUUGGCAGAUGGUGUUGAAGGAAGAUGAACCAUGGGAACCAAUUCCGACAGGAGAAAAGCUCAGGUGCAGCUCAAAAGUGCAGGACCAGGCUAGCCCAGAAGAAAAGACUAUGUGGCUGCAUAAAGGUGGUAGAAAGAGUGAAUUAGUCUGGGAUGGUCCCACUGGACUUUGGUAAAAGCAGGGCUGGGAGAAGCUCACGGGUUGGCACAAGUAGGAAAGGUACAGAUGAGGGAAAACUUGAAAGGAUGGUGGCAUCCAUUUCUAACCGCUAUGAUAGCCACACAUGUAAAAGAAUGUGAAGUAUGUAAUGUAAAUAAUGUGGCAAAAAACUUGCAAACCAGGGGUAGGAAAAUUCCCUAAGGCAUUCAGAUAGAUUAUACGGAUAUGAUUCAGACAGUCAGGAAGUACAGGUAUCUGUUAAUGUUCGUGGACGUAUUUUUGGAUUGGGUGGAAGCAUUCCCCACUAUGAGGAAAGAUAGCAAAUCAGUCUGUAAAAUGUUGAUCAAUCACUGGAUUCCCCAACACGUGUUUCCCAAAAGAAUUCACUCAGAUAAUGGUACUCACUUAAUAAGUAACGCCUUGGCAUGGGUAGAACAAGUACUAGGCCUAUAGCUUCUUAAAUGGUAAGAUAUCUGUAGAUUAGCCACUGUGUGAAAAUUGGCUUUGAGAAAUAGUCGGAUUUGGCUUGAUAAAAUUUGGGGAACACCCCGGGCCCAGGGAAUUUGGUAGAUAAAGUUAAUAAAGAAAAGUGAAUGGUGGCAAAAGCAUGCUAUAGUAAUGUAUGAAUGAGUCGACUUUAAGGAAAAUGCUGAGCUCGUUCUGUGUGUGUUGUAUAGUUUUUCGUUCUUAGAGAAAAAAGGAAGAGAAAGGGGGAUUGGUCUCUCUCUCUUUUUCUCUCUCCCUCUCUGUGCGUUGUGUGUGUGUGUGUGUGUACACGAAGCUGGACUUCGUCUGUGUGUCAGCCCCCUCCUUUUCUGAGUAAGAAAUGUGCGUGUGUGCAGAUUUGGGUCUGUGUGUGUGUCUGAGCGCCACCCCUCCCUCUUCUCUUUCUGGGGGUGAAGCGUUUAUGUUCUCUGACCUGCUGUGUGUCUAUAGAGUAACUUUAUGAGAGUUGAGGAUUGAUAAGGAAUGAUAUUUGCUUUAUUUAGUUAAAACUUAAGGAGCCUUUGUAAGGGACUUUGCUGAAAAAUUAAAAUAAAUAAAUAAAUAGAUUUAUGAGCGUCUUAGAUGGAGGACAAUUAAACUUAAAAUCACUAGUUAAAGUGAGUAAUGUUUAUAAAAUUUGAAUAUUAUUAAUGUGAGGAGGAAAAGUCGUAUAGAUGAGGAGUCCUAUGUUUUGUUUUACAUUUAUAUGGUUAUAAACAACAAUGAGUCUUCUUUGGGAGACAAAAGAGGACUUUUGAUUAUAUCGUGGACAUCUAAGAGAGAGAGCCAGAUGACGGUGGGCGGAGAACCAGUGCAUUACCUAACCUGAGCUCCAUUGAAGACAUCUGUGGGUGACUAAGAGGCUACUGUUUUAUCCACAAACUCUUUCACAAACUUAGAAAUUAGUAUUUGGAUGUAAGUGCAUUUAAUUCUAGCUAGCAUUGUUUAUAAAUCUUCAGUGUGUGUUCAUUUAUUGAUGAAUAAAGAAAUUUGUAAUUAACAGUAAGGGUUAAUAAGGGAACUGUUAAAAAAGACAAAAAGCAAACUAAGGUGUCAAAUGUAAUUACUCCAGUUGAUGUUGUGCGGAAGAGUUUAUGGUGGGAACACAGCCUGCCAUAGGAGGUAUCAGGAGACUUUUAGCUAAUCUCCUAGGGGUUCCAGCUAUGGACGAGAUUCUACAGAAAGCUGGACUAAAUUGAUAUGUGGGGACUGCUGUGAAUGAUCCAGAGCUGUUUUCUGCAGUUUGAGGACGAAUGUAGAGAGCAUUGAGUGAUACAUUUCCGACAAAUGCACAUCCUGAUAAUAUUCUGAUUGAGCCACUCGGACUGAAAGAAAACCCGAGAGCUUAUGUUUCAAGAGCCCUUCAAGUGUGGAGAAAUGUUACAGGAAAUGAUCCGGAUUUGAAUCAAAUGGAACAGUCCAUUUUGCGAGCCAAAAUACAGAAGAGGUUGCCCCUACCAGUGACGAGCAAACUGGCAGAGGUGGUUGGCCUUGGAAGUAUGGCAAAAGGUGUGAAUACAGAUCAUAUAGCCCACCAGGUGGGGAUGACAAGAAGAAGGAGAAGAAGCAGGCUUUGGUCAAAUAGAGUCAGUCUCUGCUAAAUCAGCUAUCAUCACAACAAUAGCUGAGUCAGGUUCAGCUCUAACUAUCUCAGCUAUCAUUGAUACCUCCAGCUGUUGCAUGCUCUGAUGAAGCACAUGGGUUAGCUUAACUUGCAAGAGGGGAAGUUAGAAGUAAAAUCACAAAGGCGUAUGGGUUUUGGGCACCAUACUUACUUGAGUAGAUUGAUUAUGUCAUAGGUAGGUGCACAAUCUGUUGGAGAAAUAAUGUUCGGAAGGGUAUGAUAGUUCCUCCUGGUCACAUUCCGACUCCAAGGGGUCCUAUGCAUGAGUUGUUGUGGAUUUUUGUUGGCAUCAUAAAACCAGUUGGAGGGAAAAGAUAUUUAUUAGUGGUAGUAGCUUUAUCAGUACCCAAAUUUUGUGUAAAGAAGUCAUAGGUAGAUAGGGACUUCCAGAUCUCCUCGGAUAAUGGGAAAGAGUUUGUGGAUAAGAUAGUAAGAAUGAUUUUGCAAAAUUGGGGAUUAGACAACGUCUUGGAGCAGUUUACCACCCAUAAAGUCAAGGGAAUUGUGAAAAAAUGAAUGCUAGUUUGAAAAAUUGCAUGGCCAAAAUCUGUCAGCAGACAGGUUUAAAUUGGGUAGCAGCACUCCCAUUAACAUUAAUGACGAAGACGAGGAUGAGGUGGAAGAAGGUGAACUGGUGGAAGAAUAUUCUUUUUGAAUAUUUAAUCAUUUUAUAUUCAUUCUUAGUGGAUCUGGCAUUAUCUUAUGGAGUUGUGAUUCGCAUAUGAUGUGUCUGUUGUUUUUGCCAAAGACUCGCUGUUGUUUUCUUUCCCUUUUAGAAAGAAAGGGGGGAGGUUUAGUGUUUGGAGAUCGGGAUGCGUUGAAGGGGUGCACACCUUCAUGGAUGGAUGAUAAAGGACUGAGAGACUCUGAAUAAGAAGGUCUACACCCAACACCAUCAACACCACUUGGGAGUCGACAUGUGGAAGAGUUUCAGUCUGAUACAUCGAUGUGUUUAUCUGUCUUUGCUUGAAUACGUUGGGACCUCAGAUGUGUUUUCUUAUCUUUUCUUUUCUUUUCUUUUUACGAGUUAGGGAAAUGGGUUUUAGGUUUGUUAUCGGGUCCGAUAGGUCGACUAGCCCGCUAACGAACAUUAUUUUAAUUUGUUUAUUUUUGGGGUUCCAAAUGUAUUAGCUUAAGUCACCUUCAUACAUAUUGAAUUUUUCUUUUAACGUUGGACUGGAGUUCCAUAAAGGAGGUUGCUUGUGGCAGGAGAACCGUGAGAGAAUUUUUCCUGUCCAAAUUGUUUGAUGGAAAUUUCAGGAAGGUUGGCUGCCUGACAGGUUUUUUCGCUCUCACACUCCAGACAAUGUCCAGUUGUUAAGCAAAUGUAAUGUGUUAUAUGUGUAGUCGCACUCAUGUUCAUCUUUUGUUUUUUGAGGCCCUGUAUAGCCACGAAGGGGGGAAUAUGAGGUGUAUAGACGAUCAACUACGAACAAAGACCGUUGUAUUAGUAGAUAUGGGGGAAUACAAUUAGACUACACCUUAGGCAGCUCCACAGCAUGGAUAUUUGAUUUGUCAUUAACUGCGCAGGUCAGAACUCAACAUAUAGAGGUUACGAUGCUAUGUCUGAAUGUUGACCUUUCGGGUGAAAGGUCAAAAGGGGGAAUUGUGGAAUUAUUAGCCUUAGUAUUGUUCAUAUUACUUUUUAAGAUGUAUUA